rnacentral:rRNA from 1 species
GACGAACGCUGGCGGCGUGCUUAACACAUGCAAGUCGAACGAAGUGGCGAACGGGUGAGUAACGCGUAAUCAACCUGCCCUUCAGAGGGGGACAACAGUUGGAAACGACUGCUAAUACCGCAUACUGAAGGAGGGGAUUGCGUCUGAUUAGCUAGUUGGAGGGGUAACGGCCCACCAAGGCGAUUAUCAGUAGCCGGUCGUGGAGGGUGAGCGUGCAAAUUGUGACUGCAACACGGGCCAGAGUCCUGCGGGAUGCAGCAGUAGGGUAUCUGCCGCAUUGGAGGAAAGUCUGACGGAGCAACGCCGCGUGAGUGAUGACGUCCUGCGGGUUGUAAAGCUUUGUUAAUCGGGACGCGGGACCAGAAUAGAAAGCCACGGCUAACGACGUGCCAGCAGCCGCGGUAAUAC